AGACGAUAAUGACUUCAACCUGGAAAAAGGCUUAUGGCUCAGUCAAAACUAGCCUAAAUCUAACCUUCAGUCUGGAGUUGUGGAUAAUGAGGUCCUUUUUUGAGAGAACAUCAUGGACUUUUCACAGAAGUCGAGAAGGGCCACAGGGGCAGGCUGAGCACAGUUAGGCUGCUCAGAAGUCCCUCUCCAUCACUGAGCUUCAUCUCACAAGAGAGCCAAUCCACCAUAUCAUAUUCAAGG